AACCCAUUAAUAUAUGACCUUAAUUAUAUUUAACAAAAUUCUCCGUUUGUUUUGCUUUGAUUCUACCCGUUUGUUUCUUCGUCAGCUAGGGUUUUGCAGUGAGAGAGAAGACAAUGAUUCGAUCUCUUCUUAUUUUCUUCAUUUCGUAAAGCCCCAACACACUGUUUAAGUUGAGAUGUUGUUGGGUGUUUUUUGGGAUUUGCUACCUUCAUCGAAAGGUUUGAAGCCCUUUGAGAGAGCAAACAAAAUGAGCAGGAUUACAAAUUUGGAGUGUACAACCACCAUCACCUGAGUACUUCACCGCAACGUAUGUAAUUAUUCGGGAGACAAGGUAACCGACAUCAGGGAACUCAUAACCAGCUUGUGGGGCUUCAAAUGGUUGUUUCAGUAGAAGUUGCAUUAGUCAGUUAUAUAUGUUAGGUUAAUGCCCUUUAUGGCUGUUAAUUUGUUACUUUAGGAUAUGUUCUGCAGAUGUUUGUGUACAUUAUGGGAAUAUAGAAUUUAGGAAAUGGAAGACUUUCGAGAAUUAGAGAUUCUGCUUCCUAGCUGGAUCAGCAAAAAUCCCUCCAAGAUGGCCGAAUCGGGGUUCUUCAUUCUCUCUUGUUUCAUUGCUGGUUUAGUUGGCAUUCUCACUAUCUUUUAUACAGCUUUCCAGUGGAGAAGGAACGUAAACAUUAGUUGGAUGAAAGCCAUAGCUAGGUCAAAGAAAAAUCCGAAAACCAAGUAUAAGGUCCCUGUAGCUCCUCAUACUUGGACUUUGGAAUCCGUAUCUCAAGGGAAGAGUUUAAAUUGCUGUGUCUGCUUAAAGUCCAUGUGUCCAUCUCAAACUCUUGGACCAAUGGUGGCGUCAGAGAGUUUUUUUAAUUGCUGCAACACUUGUGGUGCUGCAGCUCAUCUCAUUUGCUCAUCGAGUGCUCAUAAGGAUUGCAAAUGUGUAUCAAUGUUUGGAUAUAAGCACGUGGUACAUCAGUGGGCAGUUCGGUGGACGGAGGUAGCAGAUCAACCAGAUGAAUCCUAUUUCUGCAGCUACUGUGAAGAGCCAUGCAGCAGUUCAUUUCUUGGGGGUUCCCCUGUAUGGUGUUGCUUAUGGUGUCAGCGCCUGGUUCACGUUGAUUGCCAUGCUAAUAUGUUCAAUGAAACAGGUGAUAUUUGUGACUUGGGCCCUUUUAGAAGGCUUAUUUUAUCGCCUCUUCAUAUUAAAGAGUUUACUAGGACAUCCUCUGGUGGACUGCUGAGUUCUAUCACACAAGGAGCCAAUGAGAUUGCUUCUUCAGUACGUGCUAGUAUUAGAAGUCAAAGCAAGAAAUACAAACACAAACACAAACACGAUAACAAAAAAAAUGGAAAUGAGGUCUCUGCUGACACAGGCAAUGGUGACACUAUUGGUGACACAACUACUGAUAGCACUGCAGAUACUUAUCAAGUAAAUGGUACUUCCAGAGUAGAGGACAAUUGUAAUGGUAGUAUACAGAGAGAGGCUGUAGAUCAGCAGCAAGGAAGUGUUCUGAAAAAGCUGGUAUCUAUACCCAGCUUCAAGAGGAGUUCUUCAAUCAAUCAGAAGGACGAGUCUCAGUCAAUACGAAUGAAACAGAAAUAUGAAUUGACUGAUUUGCCUCCAGAUGCUAGGCCUCUGCUAGUUUUCCUAAACAAGAAAAGUGGAGCUCAGCGAGGAGAUUCACUUAGGCAGCGGUUGAACAUUUUGUUAAAUCCUGUGCAGGUCUUUGAGUUGAGUUCAACAGAAGGACCAGAAGUAGGUCUUUAUCUAUUCAGAAGGGUCCCUCACUUCCGGAUUCUCAUAUGUGGAGGAGAUGGAACUGUUGGCUGGGUUUUGAAUGCUAUAGAUAAACAAAACUUUGUUUCACCCCCACCAGUAGCAAUACUUCCUGCUGGGACGGGAAAUGAUUUGGCUCGAGUUCUUUCCUGGGGCGCUGGCUUGGGUUCGGUUGAGAGGCAAGGAGGUCUUUGUACACUUUUGCACGAUAUAGAACAAGCAGCAGUAACCAUCCUUGAUCGUUGGAAAGUAUCAAUCUUAAAUCAACAGGGAGAGCUGCUUCAACCUCCAAAGUUCUUGAACAACUACCUUGGUGUCGGUUGCGAUGCAAAGGUUGCAUUAGAAAUCCAUAAUAUGAGGGAGGAAAACCCUGAGAAGUUUUACAAUCAGUUCAUGAACAAAGUUCUUUACGCCAGAGAAGGCGCCAGGAGUAUCAUGGAUAGGACGUUUGCAGAUUUUCCAUGGCAAGUUCACGUGGAGGUUGAUGGUGUUGAGAUUGAGGUUCCUGAGGAUGCAGAAGGUGUUCUUAUAGCUAAUAUUGGGAGCUACAUGGGCGGAGUAGACUUGUGGCAGAAUGAAGAUGAAAGCUAUGAUAACCUUGAUCCUCAAUCCAUGCACGAUAAGAUGCUGGAGGUUGUUAGCAUUUCUGGUACCUGGCAUCUUGGGAAACUGCAGGUGGGGCUUUCCAAAGCUCGGAGGCUUGCACAAGGGCAAGUGAUAAAAAUUCAACUUUUUGCUGCAUUUCCUGUUCAAGUAGAUGGAGAACCUUGGAAUCAGCAACCGUGUACGUUGACGAUAACACAUCAUGGACAGGCCUUUAUGCUGAAGAGAGCAGCAGAAGAACCUCUAGGUCAUGCAGCAGCCAUAAUUGCAGAGGUGCUUGAGAAUGCUGAAUCCAAUCAAGUAAUUAAUACAUCACAGAAGCGGGCACUUCUUCAAGAAAUGGCGAUCAGACUGUCUUAGCUUUGUUUCUUACAAGAUUGGCGCUGCUCUUUCAGUUUUCUACAGUCUCUGGAAUCUUGCAGGAAAAAGAAUACCCCAGAAGAAUGAAAACUAACGAAAUGCCAAGGAGAUAAGAAAAUAUUUCAUGGGUGCAACCACAAGUCCAUGGUCACAACCGGGAACUUUCAAAUGUGGGAAUUACAUAAAGGCUAUAUUGAAAGACGUUGCAAAAUUUAUGAAUGUGACUGCCAUUUUCAUAAUCACAUCGUCAAGUAUUGGCUUCAAGAGAAAAAUUAUAAAACUCAUGGAUAUGAUCACCACUUUCAUCCUCACACCCGUCAAGUGUUGGCUUCAAGAGAAAAAUUAUAAAGUUCAUGGAUGUGAUAACCACUUUCAUACUCACACCCGUCAAGUGUUGGCAUCAACAAAAAAAGCUACAAAUUUCAUGGUUGUGACCACCACUCCAAGAAAUGCAUUCAUGGAGAGAUACAAUAUUUUCUUAUAAAUAGAGGCAUCACUGUCACGACCCAACCGGAUGGUCAUGAGCGCGCCCGGAGCUAACUCACCCGGGCACCUUUCAUCAUACUUUCACGUUCACAUCUAGGUGGCUAUGGAGACAGGCUUGAUCCAUAGCUUUAUUACUCAGGGACUACAUAGCGGAGCUCCAUUUCAUUCGGAGCUACAACUUUUGGUAUUUAUUCUUUUAUGUACAUAUUUAUGGGCAUAGCGGGGUCCUGUCCCGCCUAUAUGAUAUGACAUGCUCCCCUUAGAGGCUCGUAGACAUGUGUAUAUGGUUAGAUGUGUUCGGCCUUGUCGGUCUAUAUUUUGGAUAUCAUUUUGUUAGCCUUGUCAGCUUAUGUACAUCUAUAUGGGCAUUGUUAUUGAUGAUGAUAUAUGUAUUGUUGCCCAAUGGAAUUAGUAUGAAUAAUAAAUGAAAAGUAUGAUUUA